rnacentral:rRNA from 1 species
UAUGCAACCUACCUUCAUCAGGGGGAUAGCCCGGAGAAAUCCGGAUUAACACCGCAUAAAAUCACAGAACGGCAUCGUUCAAUGAUCAAAUAUUUAUAGGAUGGAGAUGGGCAUGCGUGCCAUUAGCUUGUUGGCGGGGUAACGGCCCACCAAGGCUACGAUGGCUAGGGGAUCUGAGAGGAUGACCCCCCACACUGGUACUGAGACACGGACCAGACUCCUACGGGAGGCAGCAGUAAGGAAUAUUGGUCAAUGGAGGCAACUCUGAACCAGCCAUGCCGCGUGCAGGAAGACAGCCCUCUGGGUCGUAAACUGCUUUUACUCGGGAAUAAACCUGCUUACGUGUAAGUAGCUGAAUGUACCGAGGGAAUAAGGAUCGGCUAACUCCGUGCCAGCAGCCGCGGUAAUACGGAGGAUCCAAGCGUUAUCCGGAUUUAUUGGGUUUAAAGGGUGCGUAGGCGGCCUGUUAAGUCAGGGGUGAAAGACGGUAGCUCAACUAUCGCAGUGCCCUUGAUACUGAUGGGCUUGAAUAAACUA